rnacentral:rRNA from 1 species
AUGAACGCUGGCGGCGUGCCUAAUACAUGCAAGUCGAGCGAACAGACGAGGAGCCUGCUCCUCUGACGUUAGCGGCGGACGGGUGAGUAACACGUGGAUAACCUACCUAUAAGACUGGGAUAACUUCGGGAAACCGGAGCUAAUACCGGAUAAUAUAUUGAACCGCAUGGUUCAAUAGUGAAAGACGGUUUUGCUGUCACUUAUAGAUGGAUCCGCGCCGCAUUAGCUAGUUGGUAAGGUAACGGCUUACCAAGGCAACGAUGCGUAGCCGACCUGAGAGGGUGAUCGGCCACACUGGAACUGAGACACGGUCCAGACUCCUACGAGAGGCAGCAGUAGGGAAUCUUCCGCAAUGGGCGAAAGCUUGACGGAGCAACGCCGCGUGAGUGAUGAAGGUCUUCGGAUCGUAAAACUCUGUUAUUAGGGAAGAACAAAUGUGUAAGUAACUAUGCACGUCUUGACGGUACCUAAUCAGAAAGCCACGGCUAACUACGUG